AAUGGCAAACCAGGAGUUUAAACUGUUUUCCCUCGCAAAUCUAGGCCCCCAGAUAGAGCCAAAUGUAAUCCAUCUAAACAGGAGCCGCGCUCCCAUGAGUAAGAUUUACUUACAAAAAGUAACUGUCACAGAGUCUACUCUUCCCUACAACUCUUCCUGUGCUUUCCCCCACGCUUAAUGACUGAGGGUUGGGCUGCAAUAAUUUUAUUUUGUCUCCUCUAAAUGCAGGAAACCAAUUGCUGGUGAUGGGCUUAUAAAAGCGCUUCAGCUGGCAGCCUCCAAAAGGAGGUGUAUCCAUGGCAGCUUGGAACUCUCAUGUGACGAGUGAGUGUGUGCUCUAAGGACACAAGUGGAACAUAUCUCUUACCCUGGCAGGGCCAUAGGACUGUUCAGAGCACUGAAUAGGGGUGUAUCCAGCGGCUGUGCUGGUCUUUGGGUCAUACUCAGGUGAGGGAUGAGCUGCUGGGGUUUGGGCUGCAAAGUGUUGCCAGUUCACUUAACUCUCUGGUGCUUCCCUCGUACCCCAACAUCAGCAAUUAUGUGAGUUUGCAUUCUUGGUUUUUGUUGGAAAAAUUGUAGUCCUCAUUCUUAAGAGAAAAACUUUCAUUAUUGUAUCUUAAAAGUUGAUUUUAAAUUUCUUUUAAUAUAGAAGUACAUAAUUUUCAUGUGCAUGGUUGUGGAGUCUGUCUCGUUGCUCUCAUCAUUGCAUCUGCACUUUUUACACCGCUGGAUUUGGAAAUGCUGACACUACUAAGGUUCACACCAAGGCCUCCAGUUUGAAAAAUGUAUGUGUGCUCCUGCACCUAAUGUAUAUGCAUAUUCAGUGUGACUGCAUAUGGAAAUGGAGCAUCCAUGCCAAGAGUUUUCCAGCCAAGAGGCUUUUUGCAUGUGUCUGCCUUAGAAAGGCACCGGAAGGGAAGGAAAAUGAGGUUAUCCCAUAAAAUAAUCUACUACCAUUUGGUAAGGGAGCAGGAACAG